AAUUAUCCUCAUAAGUUUGACGAAAAGGGAUACCAUUUUAAUUUUAAAAUGGGGACAAAAAAUCGGAGGCCCCGACUGUUUACUAAAAACAUAUCACAGUGCAAUCAUUAAUAUGAUAGUAUACUGUGUGAAAUUUGCCCAAUGCCAUUAAUAUAAGUGCGAUCAUGAACAGUGAUCAAAUGAAAGUCUGGUUAAUAGCGGUCUUAACUAUGAGGAUCCAAAGGUAGCAAAAUCAGUUGGCCAUUAAAUGUGGUCUGGUAUCAAUAAUGUAACGAUGGUCUCACUGUCUCUACAACUUGCUCAGUGAAAUUGAAUUACGCGUGCAGAUGCGCGUUACCUCCAGGGGGACGGGAAGACCCUAU
rnacentral:rRNA from 1 species